AAAGGAACUACAUAGAAACAGUAUCCCGAUAAUUGCUUUCAUCAUAACAGAUUCUCACACCUUUGCAAUUGUGGCUUUAAGAGAUUCCAAAUUGUUGAUUUGAGUUUGAAAUAUAAUUUUAAAAUAUCAAUAAAGAAGUAAAGAAAGUAUUAUACCUGAUUGGACCUCGUUUGGGCCGUCACAGGAAAAGCCCAUUACCAAAUUCUUCGUCACUGCUCUGUUCUGUAGUUGAUGACAUCGAUGAAACUCAAACUAUCGCACUCGUCGUCAUUACCAAGUCCACUGAACAUGAUCUGUUCCAUCGCCAAGUUAUUCUUCGCUGCCACUGAACUGGUCGUCGUCUUCACUAAUCUCAUGAGAACGGUGAAAUUAGGGUAGACCCGAUUGACAGAAAACAGAGGAUGGUGAUCAAUCACGAAACGAGAUGAAAUCGUUUCAUAAAUCAUCGGCAUACUCUGAAUGGGUCAUCUCUUUCACGCUCUGGAUUCUUUUGUUUUCC